CAAAAUUAUGUCAGACAGCAAGGCUGAUUCUGCAUAAGCUUGAGGAUCCUAUUCCCCAGACUCUUCAUGAGGCUACUGACCAGUUCAUGUUCAGAGCAGCUUUCAAAGCCACUAUAAGAAGAUAAUUUAACAGUUUGGACAUAAACUCCACGAUACCAGAAGAGUGCCCAAGAAUGGCCAUAGAUGGAGUGGUGGAAUGCAGGAAUUUAGCAGAAGAUUUUCAGCCUCUCCCAAGUGACUUUUUAACAGAAGUUUUGUCUUUAGAAAAAUAAAUUUGUUUUCUUAAAAAAAAGAAAAAUAAAUUUUUUUUUUUUUUUCCUUCCCCUUUUGAAAAAUCCAAGCUACAAAUGGGCGG
rnacentral:lncRNA from 1 species